rnacentral:rRNA from 1 species
UGCAGUCGACGAGGGCGAUAGCAAUAUUGCCCGAGUGGCGGACGGGUGAGUAACGCGUGAACAAUCUGCCUGUAUCAGGGGAAUAACACUAAGAAAUUGGUGCUAAUACCGCAUAAGACCACGGAGAGGCAUCUCCCCGGGGUAAAAGAAUAAUCGGAUACAGAUGAGUUCGCGUCCCAUUAGGUAGUUGGUGAGGUAACGGCCCACCAAGCCGACGAUGGGUAGCCGACCUGAGAGGGUGAUCGGCCACAUUGGAACUGAGAGACGGUCCAGACUCCUACGGGAGGCAGCAGUGGGGAAUAUUGGGCAAUGGAGGGAACUCUGACCCAGCAACGCCGCGUGAGUGAAGAAGGUCUUCGGAUUGUAAAACUCUUUAAGCGGGGACGAAGAAAGUGACUGUACCCGCAGAAUAAGCAUCGGCUAACUACGUGCCAGCAGCCGCGGUAAUACGUAGGAUGCAAGCGUUAUCCGGAAUGACUGGGCGUAAAGGGUGCGUAGGUGGUUUGUCAAGUUGGCAGCGUAAUUCCGUGGCUUAACCGCGGAACUACUGCCAAAACUGAUAGGCUUGAGUGCGGCAGGG